ensembl:lncRNA
GUAAUUGAGUUGUUAGAAAUCAUUUGUAAGUGCGUGCAUUCGUAUAAAUAAGUGAUUUUCCGUGCAGCUGGAGCUGGUCAGACCCGCUGUUAUAGAAAAUUGUGGUAUAAACCAUAUAUCAUACAAUUCUGCAAUGUUAAUCUACAACAUUGUGUUGCUGAUGUGUUUAAACAAAUCACACCAUCAAUUACAGGAGGACCAAACUGUGAUAAAAUAACUUUUUAUUUCACAAGAAUAUGACCAGAAGAGUAAUAAACCAGCUUAUAUUGUACACAAAAGCAGAAUAUACUAUACAUACAUUUCUCAUGAUCUUUGUUUUUAAGAGUUUAUCAUCACACACAUCAUAUCAUAUCAGGCCAUUACACAAAAAGAAACCAUUCUAGACAAAACAUUUAACGCUGACGACACUAAAGAUACUUUCUGUCGAAUGCGAACUGAAUGGAUUUGACACAACAUCGCCAUAAUCAAAUGCUGUUUCACAUCAAUCUUAAUGUUUUUUUGUUUGUUUAGUUUUAGAUUGGCACAGCGCCACCUACCCUACAUAAACAGCAUAAGACGCCAAAAGGAGCUCUAAAGUCACGCUUCAAAUCAAGUAAAAACAGGCAUGCAGUUUCAUUGUCCUGAUCCGCAUUUGGAAAAUGAGAUAAGUCGCAUUCUUGUUGUUCCAGAGAAACAGCCGUGUGUGUGUGUGUGCAGAAGCAUGACGUGGUGUUUUUGCACUUUGUUGUAGAAUGAAUACACACCAGACUCAUAUCUAGGAGUCAUACAUUAUAUAUAUAUAGAGGAUCUUGAAGUUUACUACAGAUGGUUUUUAGGUAAGAUGUUAGAAGGUAAGAUAUUAUUAUUAUUAUUCCUUUCUCUAGCAUGCUAUUUGAAUAAUUUUGAGUUCAUUAAAGUAUUUUAUUUCCUAUAUCUUAUUAACAUUAUUGUGGGGCAGUGGUGGCUCGGCGGUUAAGGCUCUGGGUUACUGAUCGGAAGGUCGGGGUUCAAGCCCCAGCACUGCCAAGCUGCCACUGUUGGGCCCUUGAGCAAGGCCCUUAACCCUCUCUGCUCCAGGGGUGCUGUGUCAUGGCUGACCCUGCGUUCUGACCCCAGCUUCCUGACAUGCUGGGAUAUGCUUUGCUUCUACUACUGUCUGACAUCCACCUAAAAUAUAAUCACACCUAUAACGCAGUGAUUUUCUUCUGAAUAUUUCUUCAUCCCCUAGAAAUGAAUUCCUUCACUAGGCCUCUGACACACACACACACACACACACACACACAAAGGAAUUCCCUCCACAUUCCUGUAAGUAGAGGUACAAAUAAUAUGUAAUAUGUACAGUAAUGAGGUUUAAACAAGGCAUGAAGUUUACUUCUGAGUAUUCCACAGCACUGAGCAGUGAUGAAGGUUAAAAGCGGCUCCUCGCCAUCAUUUUGAGACGUACUAUCAUAUCACGCUAGAUUUUGCAUGCAUGAAUUUUGGUAGAGGCUUUUAUCCGACGCGCAAGCACAUCCUUGUUUCCUUUCCAUGCUUCACACUCACUCACUCACUCACUCACUCUCUCUCUCUCUCUCUCUCUCUCUCUCUCUCUCUCUCUCUCUCUCUCUCUCUCUCUCUCUCUUCUUGAUCAGAUGUUUUGCUACACAAGCCAUCCUGGAUGAUGGCUUAUGAAGUGUGAAUUUAAAGCCUAGCACGUCUGACUGCAGACAACGAGGUGCCGGUACACGCCGAAUGAACUCCAGUCAGAACGUUAUGACACGUGUAUCACUAUUGUUGAGGUUUUAACAUAUCCAACAACCCUCACAUUCAUCCCACUCAACAACUUGUCUUUCUACCUCACAGGAAGUGGUGGCUCAGCAGUUACGGAUCAGAAUAAUGCGAGUUCAAAUCCCAGAACUGCUAGAUCAUGUGCUCUGAGCCUGGCUUGUAAACAAGCUGGGACAUGUGAGGAAAGGAGUAUUUGUUAAUUUUCUGUAAUUACAGCUCUGACAGUAGUGCUGACUGGAAUUCAAAUCUCAGGUUUAUGUUAACACACUCGCUCUAAUAUGAUGUUUCUUUAAGGACUUGUAUGUUGGAUGCAACACAUAAUCUAAACCUAUAAUAAACGGAUAAAAAAAAGUAUUUUUGAACCCCCCCAAAAAAUGAUAAUUGGUUAUGUGGUGAAGGAGACACCUUUCUUUUGGACAGUGAAUUAAGCUUUAGUUAUUUUGUAACAUGACAAGCUGUGUUGUUCUUAUCUUAUUAACUUCAAGAGAGGGAAAAAAGAGAUUUUAUAUAUAUAUAUAUAUAUAUAUAUAUAUAUUCUUUGAUGGAUCUUCAAUGUUAAAUUUAACUACAGAUCACUAAAAUGUAGGCGUCAUUUUCUUUUUUUAAAAAAGAAAAAAUCCUGCUAUAAGAAUAGAAGAAUAAAAACGCCAUGCUGUUAUGGGAAAAUAAUCAACUUUAUUUUCCUAGAACAGCACUUCCAUAGUUGUUUUUUAUAUAUAUAUAUAUAUAUAUACAUACACAUACACAUACACACACAAAAACCCUUUUUGCAUGUCAGUCUUUUUACAGGGCUAGAGAAUCCAUAGCACAAGCUUAACCAUAGAAAGCACCCGCGUAUUUACAUUUGCUCAUUUCCCUGAGGCUUUUAUCCAAAGCAAAUUACAACUGAGACACAAAUGAGUGAGUGUAUUCUCAUUGUGAGAGUCUACUCUAUCCUCAGAGCUGAUGAGAUCUGUCCCUCUGAUCACUUCCCAGGUCAUGGGACGAAGAACAGAAGAGUGUCACGCAGAAUUAGAGUAUUCCUAAAAACCUCACGGACUGAAACUCGCUACUUUCCCAUCAAUCACUAACUACUGAGCCACCUCUGCCCUAGACAUAUCCAGUGUUGUCUCUGCAUCAUGGUGUUUACAACUUUCCACAGAAAUGUCCAGCAACAAUGCCAACACAGUUCACUAGGGUGCAUUCCAAACCAACCAGGACACGACACACGCGUCACUUCUAAAACCUUACACUGGGGUAUGUUAAAUACAAUGCCUAGAGUCCUGAUAGGAAAUAAAACACACUUUACAUAGAAAAUAUUUCAUUUGAUACAUCAAAAUAUUGGAUCUGUACAGAGGAAACUAUAAGUGUGUUUGUGCUUGUUAAGGAUACACAUAAAAGGAGCAACACAGAAAGCACGCAUGCACUGUUUAAGCUUUAUGACACUGGGAACGGUAAAAAAACAAAAACAAAACAAAAAAACAUAUAUUUGAUAGAGAUUUUUGCACAAUAAUAUACCCUAACAUAAAUCUAUAUUAAUAAAACUGUAGAGAUAAGCUUUAAUAUCAAUAUCAGGAAUAUGCAUCAGCUUGAAAGUAGAUUUCAAUACAAGGUUUGGCAGGGAAAGAACCAGUCAGGAACUGCUGUGAAAGUUUUGUCAUCCCGUGCAAAUAAAGCCAGUGCACCCAUGUUAAGGCUAACAAAGGAUUCAGGCCAAAGUAGUAGAUGUGUGUGUAGAUGUGUGUGUGUGUGUGUGUGUUAGUUAAUGGAAACUGGAAAGCAUCCUCACAGAAUUUUACACUGAACUAAUGGGCUAAAUGUGUGAUGGAUAUUUAACCGUGUUUCUGAUAUUGGAUUAAUAGACCGAGUGUGUGCUCACACUGACAGCUCAUGUGGUUAAUUGUGAUUGAUGUGGUUAAUUGCAAGAUGUUACAUAAUGUAUGGGUUGUGUUGACGUUUUUUUUUUUUUUAGCUCGGUCUCGUCAGUGUUUUCACAUAGCUGCAUGUUCCCGGUUCUCAAAAGAUUGCCCGUCAUCCAUUUGCACUAAUUAAGCCAUCUAGUAAACACCACCAGAUCGCGCCUCGGCCGCGUUCCAAGUGUCACUGCAGCCAAAUGGCACGAGUCUGCAUGGAAAAGCUGAAGCGAUGGAUAAGUGCUGGCACACCGAGUUUAAAAUGUGCUGGUGUUCAUGGUCCAAAGCUGGCAAAAAUUUGCUUUGCACGUCAAACAAUGAAAGCCAGUAUCUGUUUUCUGUUGUGCUACAUUGGAAGGGUUCACAGUUUAUGGGACUCAGAACUCCACUGAAAGGAGCCAAUUCCCCAAGCAGCGACAGGAGGAAAGUGAAACCGUGGGUAUUGUAGUGUCUAUCAGCGCUGCAGUGGCAGUGGCCGUGACUCCCUAUGAUGAAGCCCUAUGAGGGCUGAAAAAGACGAGGCCAACCUGAAAACCUGC